GUUGUUAAAGAAGAACACGUAUGAGAGUAACUGUUCAUACGUUGACGGUAUUUAACCAGAAAGUCACGGCUAACUACGUGCCAGCAGCCGCGGUAAUACGUAGGUGGCAAGCGUUAUCCGGAUUUAUUGGGCGUAAAGAGAGUGCAGGCGGUUUUCUAAGUCUGAUGUGAAAGCCUUCGGCUUAACCGGAGAAGUGCAUCGGAAACUGGAUAACUUGAGUGCAGAAGAGGGUAGUGGAACUCCAUGUGUAGCGGUGGAAUGCGUAGAUAUAUGGAAGAACACCAGUGGCGAAGGCGGCUACCUGGUCUGCAACUGACGCUGAGACUCGAAAGCAUGGGUAGCGAACAGGAUUAGAUACCCUGGUAG
rnacentral:rRNA from 1 species